rnacentral:rRNA from 1 species
GAUGAACGCUAGCUACAGGCUUAACACAUGCAAGUCGAGGGGAAACGAUAGAGAAAGCUUGCUUUUUCUAGGCGUCGACCGGCGCACGGGUGAGUAACGCGUAUCCAACCUGCCCAUCACUUGGGGAUAACCUUGCGAAAGUAAGACUAAUACCCAAUGACGUCUCUAGAAGACAUCUGAAAGGGAUUAAAGAUUUAUCGGUGAUGGAUGGGGAUGCGUCUGAUUAGCUUGUUGGCGGGGUAACGGCCCACCAAGGCGACGAUCAGUAGGGGUUCUGAGAGGAAGGUCCCCCACAUUGGGACUGAGACACGGUCCAAACUCCUACGGGAGGCAGCAGUGAGGAAUAUUGGUCAAUGGACGAGAGUCUGAACCAGCCAAGUAGCGUGCAGGAUGACGGCCCUAUGGGUUGUAAACUGCUUUUAUAAGGGAAUAAAGUGAGAGUCGUGACUCUUUUUGCAUGUACCUUAUGAAUAAGGACCGGCUAAUUCCGUGCCAGCCGCCGCAGUAA